rnacentral:rRNA from 1 species
AUACGAGAUUACGUACGGUGACUGGAGUUCAGACGUGUGCUCUUCCGAUCUAAGAUUUCCGAAUGGGACAACCUAGCCGUCUGAAGGACGGUUACUCUUACCAAUGUAAGAGAGCUAACGCAGGGAACUGAAACAUCUUAGUACCUGCAGGAAGAGAAAAUAAAUGAAUGAUUCCCCCAGUAGUGGCGAGCGAACGGGGAACAGCCCAAACCGUUGACGUCGCAAGGCGCCAGCGGGGUUGUAGGACCGCGACAUUGUAUGCAAAUCGUGAACAGAACACUUUGGAAAAUGUGACCAUAGACGGUGAUAGUCCAGUAUGUGAAGCGAAAUGCAGCAUAGCGGUAUCCUGAGUAACGCGGAGCACGAGGAAUUCUGCGGGAAUCUGCCGGGACCAUCCGGUAAGGCUAAAUACUCCCGUGAGACCGAUAGCGAACCAGUACUGUGAAGGAAAGGUGAAAAGAACCCCGAGCAGGGGAGUGAAAUAGUUCCUGAAACCAUGCGCCUACAAGCGGUCGGAGCAGCGUAAGCUGUGACGGCGUGCCUUUUGCAUAAUGAUCCUACGAGUUACCGUCACUGGCGAGGUUGAGUGUCAUGAGACACGUAGCCGCAGUGAAAGCGAGCCUGAAGAGGGCGCACAGUCAGUGGGGGUAGACGCGAAACCAAGUGAUCUACACUUGGCCAGGAUGAAGUCCCGGUAACACGGGAUGGAGGUCCGCACCAAUAAGCGUUGAAAAGCUUCUGGAUGAGCCGAGUGUAGGAGUGAAAGGCCAAUCAAACUUGGAGAUAGCUCGUACUCCCCGAAAGGCAUUUAGGUGCCGCGUCGGAUGGUCACCGUGAGAGGUAGAGCGACCGAUAGGACAAGAGGGCUUCACCGCCUAUCGAGUCCUGACGAACUCCGAAUGCUCACGGUCUGCAGUCCGGCAGUAAGGGGGCGGGUGCUAAGGUCCGUCCCCGAGAGGAGAAGAAUCCAGACCGCCGUCUAAGGUCCCGGAGUUCUGCCUGAGUUAGUCUAACGAAGUCUGGUCCCUAUGACAGCUAGGAUGUUGGCUUGGAAGCAGCCAUUCAUUCAAAGAGUGCGUAACAGCUCACUAGUCGAGGGUCCGGGCAUGGAUAAUAAUCGGGUAUAAGGCAGACACCGAAGGCGCGGGAUAGCAAUUAUAAAAGUAUCGGUAGGGGAGCAUACUCACAGCGUUGAAUGGUGUACGUAAGUUAUCCUGGAGCGGUGAGUAAAGCAAAUGUAGGAAUAAGUAACGAUAAGGAGGGUUAGAUUCCCUCCCGCUGUAAGACCAAGGUUUCCCGGGCAAUGCCAAUCAGCCCGGGGUCAGUCGGGUCCUAAGUCUAAGCCGAACGGCGAUGGCGAUGGCAGAGACGGUUAAUAUUCCGUCACUGCCGCAUGGGGCGACGUGGAGACGGAGCAGUGAAACCACCGCGGGGCGACGGAAGUCCCCGUUGAAGGGUGUAGGCGUUGAGGAAGGCAGGCAAAUCCACCUUCCGAGCUGAACCUGACAGUACGGAGUCCUCCUCGGAGGAAUCUGAUAGUGUGGGUAAUCAUACUCCCGAGAAAAUCCGCUAAGCUUAACCCAUGCGGCACCCGUACCGCAAACGGACACACGUGGUCGGGUAGAACAUACUAAGGCGUUGAGAGAUUCAUGGUUAAGGAACUAGGCAAAUUGACCCUGUAACUUCGGGAUAAAGGGUCCUCGUGAUGAGCGAGGCGCAGAGAAUAGGUCCAGGCAACUGUUUAACAAAAACACAGGGCUGUGCAAACUCGAAAGAUGACGUAUACAGCCUGACACCUGCCCGGUGCCGGAAGGUUAAGAGGAGAUGUCACUAGCAAUAGGAAGCAUUGAAUUGAAGCCCCGGUAAACGGCGGCCGUAACUAUAACGGUCCUAAGGUAGCGAAAUUCCUUGUCGG